AAGAAAGGGAAGAGGGUGAAGUAUCUGGUUGCUGGCAACUGAAUUUGAGGAUGCCUUCAUUCGAAACAAUAAUUCGAAACCUUUUGAUUGGAGCAAUGUACAUAGGUGGAAUUUAUGUUGGUAUUUCAGUCGGCCUAGAGGCAAGUAAUUAUGUGGCGUACAGACGGGAAAGG